AUUGAACGCUGGCGGCAGGCCUAACACAUGCAAGUCGGGCGAGAGGCGGACGGGUGAGCAAUGUAUGGGGAUCUGCCUGAUAGAGGGGGAUAACUACUGGAAACGGUGGAUAAUACCGCAAACGACCGGAUGGACCCAUAUGGGUUUAGCUAGUAGGUGGGGUAAAGGCACACCUAGGCGACGAUCUCUAGCUGGGCUGAGAGGAUGAUCAGCCACACUGGGACUGAGACACGGCCCAGACUCCUACGGGAGGCAGCAGUGGGGAAUAUUGCGCAAUGGGCGCAAGCCUGAUGCAGCCAUGCCGCGUGUAUGAAGAAGGCCUUCGGGUUGUAAAGUACUUUCAGCGGGGAGGCGUUACCCGAAGAAGAAGCACCGGCUAACUCCGUGCCAGCAGCCGCGGUAAUUC
rnacentral:rRNA from 1 species